rnacentral:lncRNA from 1 species
UCCGCCGGGGCGGGGCUUCCGGGCGGAGAGCGGCGCGCGGCGCGGGGCAGUGCGGUGGCGCUCCCUGCUGGCGGGAGGGCGACAACGCAGGGGCCUGCAUGGCGGCCAAGGAUGCCCACUCUCGGAACACGGUGACCUUGAACUUCAUAACGAGUUCGCAGGUGCAUUCUCGUUUAAUGAAUGGAAACCUGACAGAUGGCGGUAAAGAGGCCCCGUAACGACGGGUAUGGCCCGAAUCUUUUCAGACGUGUGCGCACUUACACGGCCAGUUGGCAGCAGCUGUACCACCUGUGGACUUUCACAAUGUCAGGUUUGACCCUUGCUGCUCGAGAGGAGGCCUCAAGCGACAGGCGGGGAAGGGCACCCCUCUGGGGUUGGUGUGGACCAGCGGUUAUUAUCAGGAUUCUAUCCUGGAAAACGAGAUAACGCCUGGACUGCUGCACAGCCAUUAUCCGGGAUCUGCCUUCAUCAUGCUCCAGGGCUGCCUCCUGGAAGUGGAGGGGCAAGUGUCCCUCUCUCCCCCACUCUCUGAAUAACUUCCCAGAAAGGGGCAGAGACGGCAGGAAGCAAACCAAGCAAACAAGCAAACCAAGCAAACAAGCAAAGCAUGUCUGAAAAGGAUGGUAUUCUCCCUCGCUCUUGAUUGGCGUUUGGGUGAGCUACAGAAGUUUAUUUUAAAUAUAAUUUUUUCCCUCAGAACUUUGAAGAUGUUUCAUUAUUUUUUAGCACCUAGUGCUGUUAAUAAAAAAUCAGAUGUCAGUCUGACUCUGGCCCCU